AGCAGCCGCGGUAAUUCCAGCUCCAAUAGCGUAUAUUAAAGUUGUUGCAGUUAAAAGCUCGUAGUUGAAUUUCGGGAUCAAUACGUCGGUCGUGCUUCGGUACGUACUGGCGUCAUUGAUUUCUCCCUUCUGACGAACCAUGAUGUCAUUAACUUGGUGUCAUGGGAAAUCAGGACUGUUACUUUGAAAAAAUUAGAGUGUUUAAAGCAGGCUCACGCUUGAAUACAUUAGCAUGGAAUAAUGAAGUAGGACGUUCGAUCCUAUUUUGUUGGUUUUAGGAUCAACGUAAUGAUUAAUAGGGAUAGUUGGGGGCAUUAGUAUUCAAUUGUCAGAGGUGAAAUUCUUGGAUUUAUUGAAGACUAACUACUGCGAAAGCAUUUGCCAAGGAUGUUUUCAUUAAUCAAGAACGAAAGUUAGGGGAUCGAAGACGAUCAGAUACCGUCGUAGUCUUAACCAUAAACUAUGCCGACUAGGGAUCGGAUGAUGUUAAUUUUUAAUGACUCAUUCGGCGUCCG
rnacentral:rRNA from 1 species